GAUCCUUGGUGUAAUCCAAUUGAGGAAAACAUUUUAAUGAUAUUUUCGCAUCACAGACAAUGGGGAGGUUUUCUAGAUGUUGAAAAUGUGAGAUAGAAAUGAUCUGCCCCUCCUUAAAAUUUUCUAUUAUCGUUAUUUUAAAUUUAUUUUGGUGCAGGAAUAUCUGUUUUAAUUUCUAGAUAAUUAUUUGGAUACUCAGCUCUGUAUUCUAAAUCCAUUCAAACGGAAUGAUUACGUGUGUACUUUAAGACCAUUCAGUGUCCUUUCUGGGUACAACUAUAUUUUCAUAGGUUCUUAAGCCAACCUUCGUUAAUUUUGCCUUUUCUUAAUCUUUUUUCACAUUAAUAAUUAGUAUAUAAUACUAUACAUUGUCCCAGUUCAUCUAUGUAUUGUACGAAUGACCAAACUAUAUAAGCUGAUGUUCAUUUGCCAUAUACACAAUUAUUAGAAACACCAAGCUUUUACAAGUGUAUUUCUUUGUUCUUUUGUUCCACUUUUGUUGCCAUAUCUGUCUUUCUAUUUUCUCUUGUUUUCUUGGUUUGACUUCUAU
rnacentral:misc_RNA from 1 species